AUUGAACGCUGGCGGCAUGCCUUACACAUGCAAGUCGAACGGCAGCACGGGUGCUUGCACCUGGUGGCGAGUGGCGAACGGGUGAGUAAUACAUCGGAACAUGUCCUGUAGUGGGGGAUAGCCCGGCGAAAGCCGGAUUAAUACCGCAUACGAUCUACGGAUGAAAGCGGGGGACCUUCGGGCCUCGCGCUAUAGGGUUGGCCGAUGCCUGAUUAGCUAGUUGGUGGGGUAAAGGCCUACCAAGGCGACGAUCAGUAGCUGGUCUGAGAGGACGACCAGCCACACUGGGACUGAGACACGGCCCAGACUCCUACGGGAGGCAGCAGUGGGGAAUUUUGGACAAUGGGCGAAGGCCUGAUCCAGCAAUGCCGCGUGUGUGAAGAAGGCCUUCGGGUUGUAAAGCACUUUUGUCCGGAAAGAAAUCCUUGGCCCUAAUACGGUCGGGGGAUGACGGUACCGGAAGAAUAAGCACCGGCUAACUACGUG
rnacentral:rRNA from 1 species